GAGAAGUUGGCGGCGGCGGCGGCGGCCUGGGGAUAGCGGAGCGGCGGGAGCGCAGGUUGGGCCCUGCCGCUCCCCGUCACUCUCCAGGAGCAGGUGAGCCACUGACUAACGCACAUUGUGCUCUCGGCGACUCCACUGUGCGUGUGACAGCGGCUAACCUGCUCCUCGGGCAUCGCUGUGCGGCCGCAUCGCCUCCACGGACACACGCUUCGACGCCGCGACGCCUCCGUCCCCUCCACGACACCCAGGUGAGAGGCUCUGGUGUGCGAAGGAGUUGCCCCAACACCUAGGUGAGGGGCUGCGGCAUGCACCCCGCAACCAACGCCACUCUAGCCUCCAGCUGCCUCCCAUCCUUGGCCUGGUGGACUUGCAACCAGUAACAUCCUGCAAUCAGAACAUGAAAAGAUUUAAUGCUUCUUGCAGCGGGGCUGGAAGUGGAGAUGAGGGGAGCGGGCCGUGGCAGUGUGUGGGCGCAAAGAGUCAGCAGUAAAGUUGCACAGGAGGGAUGGCGUACCCCCUCUCUCUCCUCCCCUGCUGUUCUCCAAAGUAAAUAAGUGCUAGUGGACUCCGUACCAAGUUAAAGAGACACUUCAUCCCAGCCGGUGACGUCUUGAUAUCCAGUCAGUGACUAACUGAACUGCUAUUGCCAAGGGUGUGUUAAUAGAAGAAACCGUGCCUGGUAUUGCCCUGGAUGAGUCACCUUUAAAGAGAGACUCUCUAGUCUGUUAAAUGAAAAGCAGAAACAAGCCUUGCUUUCCUUUUUUGUUCCUAUUUUGUUUCCCAUCCUGCCCCUCACCUUUGCUUGCCGCUUUCUGCUACUUGCACUAGGGUUCUGGGAGCCCCCUGGGCCCUGGCUGGGUGCUGGCGGAGCUGCCUUGCGUGAUCGCGCUGUGAUGUCACACGGGGGACUCUGACUUCAUGGUCCUGAGGAGCAGGAAGGCGAGCCAGGCAGGGACUCCUCCAGCUGCCCAGGGUGGCUGUUACUUGAAAUGGAGGAAGUGACAAAGCAGAUUGCUUCUCCUACAAAGUUCACUUUUGCAAUUUUCGGGCUGGUGAAGAAGGUGGGUUGUUGAAAAGUGUCUUUUUUUGAAGCGCAGCACAGCUUUAUCAGCAGCUUAAGCUCAAUAACCAACUAGGAUUCGGCACAGCCUGCUGAGGUCCCUGAAAGGGCUCGGGUAUUCUCCUUCUUGCUUGGGCUGUUCAGGUGUAGUCUUGGACCAUUGUAAAGGCUUGAUCUGAAGGCAUCGGCAGUGCUCUGGUCAGUAAGUAGUUAAUUGUACGGAAGGCAGAGCAACAUCCUCUGCACGGAUGAAGUCUCUCACAGAAAUUUUGCCUGUCCCCAUCUCUCCCGCCUGCAUUCAUUUGUUGUUUCUCCCUCUGGGUCCCGGAGGAGUACCUGCUCUUCUGCAAGAAAAAUCAGCUCACUCUGUGCCCCGCGCAGACCGAGUGAGUCCAGGGUGCUCAAACGUGCUAGAAAGAGAGCAAAGACACCUGAAUUUACCCAAACUGCUUUCAUGCUUGUUCAGAAGCCAAACGGGCCAUUUUUGAUGGGGAGGGGGAAACAAGUUUGCAGCGUUCUCAGCUCCAGGCGGCUUUCCUUCUACCUAGCUGCACCUACAGCAUCUUCCCACUGCUGGUCCUGAGCAGGCAGGAGCAUGGCAUAGCCACGUGGAGAGCCAGGGAGAGGGGGAAAGCUGUGCAAAAUAUGCCUGUGUGUGAGUGUGUCUGUGAGCUGAAACUGAAGCCCUGUUGUCCCCUACCGCCCCAUCUCAUAGGAGACCGUGCACUUAACGAACCUGUAUCUGAAAACGAAGGCGCUCUGUUUCUCUUUGAAGCAACAGCCCUGCGUUUGGGACUGUGCUGCCGGGUGACUAACCCCUGGAGACACCACUGGCAGAAGCAGCUCUGCCAGUUGCCUGGCAAGACUUGUCCCAGUUCCCACGAGCAGCGCCAUGGUAUGAACGUCUUCUGACUUCCCGCUACCUACAGAACCAUCCUGCUCAGCUCCAGUAAGCAAAGGGCAAGGUAGAAUGCUCUCAGUCUUUACCCUGAGACAGAGAAAGGAAAAUCAUCAGUGGGAGAGCGGACAAUGCUCCCUGCAUGGAUAUUCAUGGGAGUUCAAAUAGUUUCUCUUCUCCAUCUGCAGUGAACUACCCUUGUAUGAGCUGUGCGCCAAGGAGCAAGCAGCAGAGCAUCUGCACACCACUUGGGGAGCAAAACCAACAGGCAUUUUCUCCUCCAGUCAUUCACACCUUUUCUUAUGUAACUGGUGCUGAAGUGUGUGCUUUAAAAGCUGCUUGCCAAAUCCAGGGGCUGGGAGGCAGCACAAAUGCUUCUAGCACUCUAGAUGAAAUUUAGACAGGGUCAAAACCAAACCCAAACGCUGAGGAACUCAUACAAAUCCAUGACUGCAAAUUUGGGGUGUUUCAAGUGUCUGCAGCUGUGCUGCCCUUGAGAAACUGUACUGGCCUGGGGGCAGCACUGGCACCCUGACCGCUGUCUGCAGAGGAUGCCUGGCCUGACAAGCCAACACAGUCCAGAGCUGAUGGGUGAAGAGCUGGGAGCCAUUUUUCUUAUGCAAUACUUAAAAAAAAAAAAAAAAAAUAUCAGGUAGAGCAGGGAGGAGAGGAGCCCCAGGGAGGCUGAAUGGUACCUGGUGCUGACAGAGCCUGCAUCCAGUCUGCAGAUUUAUUUUAUUUUAAAAAACAAACUAAACCAGCUGUGACUUCACCAGUGAAAAACAGGUGUGUCCUCUGCUUUGUGAUUUCUGGGUGGCACUGAAGCGAGAAGCAUCUGAGGAGGGAGAAGCCCUGAAGCCUGCCACAGGGAAGGCAGAAGCUGCCCCACAGCACCCAAGGGAUGCGGGGACAUGACUCCCUACUCACCCAGGUACAGCACCCUCAAGCCACCCUGUACACUUGGAUCCCUGCCUUGCCCCUGAGCCAGUCAUUCCCUCUCUAGCAUGCACCCUACGCUGGGCUUUUGGUUUGUUUUUUAAGGGAAAACCCCAGUAAUUUCUUUGCUUUGUUUUAAUCUCAUAACAAUGAGUAAUUCCUACCGCUCUGUAGUGGCCUAGAAUAGGACAGCAUCGUCUCCACUACAGCAAGGCGGCUUCUCCCAGGGCAUAAAAUUUUAAUUAGGAACAAUCACGCAGCCUUGAAAUGGGAAUUGUGAGCAGCAAAAAAAGUCAAACCAUCAAUAAAAUAUUCAAUGGCAGAAAUGUAUUAUUGACACAGCCUUUAGAGCAGAUAAAAGCAGAAAGGCUGGGGAGCCAGAGUGGUAUCGAGCCUUGCUUGGUUAAAUAAUGCACAGGGACCUGCACGCUCACCAUGCCAUUGCACGCCCCCCAUGCCAGGAGGAAUAUAGGUCACCCACGGGUGGGGAGUUUCCUAAGGUAAUAAAUGAGUUUGAUUAACGCCUCUCCCCCCACUGUGGUGUGUGCCAUGGUGGAGGAGAGGCGUUAAUUAAAGUAAUUUAUUACCUUAGGAAACACGGCUGCCUUUGCAGGCCACAUAGUGGGGCGGGGGUGGGGGGGUGGGGGAGGAAUCUGCAAAAUGCCACAGCCUUGUGAUACAAAAAAACCCCAGAGCUAGCCUCUGGCCAUGGUGCUCUCCCUAACCCUAUGCCUGAUCCUCAGACCUCGGUGGGGGACACGGCUGACUUACACCAUCCCCCAUCCCAUGCAGCAGUUCCACAUCCUACCUCCCAGCCAAGGGGCAUCAGCUACAGGGCCAAAAUCUGCCAUGAUAUACAUUUUUAAACACCCCCCCCCCUUUUUUUUUUUGCCCACAAGUCAUUGGUGCUGGUUUGGCUUGCCAAAUCAUGGCUGAACAGAAAUAACCUGCCAUAAUAAUAAAUAAUAUAUAAGCAGAAGCGCAGGGCAAAAGUCUUCAUGAAAAAUCAGAGAUUUAAAUUAAUUUUCUGCCCUGUUUCUCCUGGCGGGAGGUAUCGUAAGUGAUGACCCUUUUCUCUUUAUUCCCAUUUAUUUUGCAGAAAGCAAAGCUACAAAUGUAGCCCCCAAAAAUGAAAGAUCCAGUUUUUAACCCACAGAGCUCUUUUUGUUUCCAGGGCACUCAAAGGAUGUCACACAACAUCCCAAAAUCUGGCCAUGUCCAAGACAAGUGGGUUUUUAGAACCCUCUUCUUGGAUGUUUUUUCCCCAGGCAGCACUGAAAUGCUCUGUACCACUUCUAUCACCCUCCACUUCUCUUAGCAAGGUGGAGUCUCAUUUUAAAAGGAGGCUUUGCAGAAAUUGAGCGGAAGAAGCCCAAAAAUCAAGCAAGCAGGAGAGAAACUCCUUGAUGCAGCUGCCAUGAGCAAAAAUAUUUUUAACUCCUUUUUCCCAAGAUAAGUGAUUUAAGGAGUGGGAGUGGGGGAGGGGCAUGGGACACCAACCCUACCCUCCACCCCAAAAAAACCCUGAUUCAAAAGAGACAAGUCUGAAAUUGCAUCUCCCCCUGCAGCUCCUCUGCAGUUGUAACCGGAGAUACAGCUGCACCACUGCUCUCCCAGUGAAGCAAACUUUAAUCCUUCAAUAUCACUUGGCCAACCUGCCGAGCUGCAGUAGCACCUUGAAAAUGGGCUUUGAGAGGGGCUCGUCCCGGAGGACCAGAGCCCAGCAGAGCCUCAGGGGAGAUGCUGAUGGAGGGCAAGAGCUAACAUUCUUGCCUGUGGUUAUCCAGGUGCAGAUGGAGGGGCUUGAAAGUGAAUGGGAAAUUUCCCCCUUACCUGCUCCUAUCUGCAGCCGAGCACCAUCCCCUUCACCUCCUGUCCUAAAAUGCUCCGAGCUGCUGCUGUGCAUUAUUAAAAUGCUGCCAUGUUUCAUCCCAGAGACGGCCGCCCUCUCACCAGAGACAAGCUUCAUCUGCUGGUUGUAAAGCACUUUGAUUCAAAAAAAAAAAAAAAAAAAAAAAAAAAAAAAGACAAGCCAGCAUGUGCGUAAGAGGCAUUCGGUCAUAAAAUACUUACAGCUUUAAUUUGGCAAAUGGAA